rnacentral:rRNA from 1 species
AACAGGAUUAGAUACCCUGGUAGUCCACGCCGUAAACGAUGUCGACUUGGAGGUUGUGCCCUUGAGGCGUGGCUUCCGGAGCUAACGCGUUAAGUCGACCGCCUGGGGAGUACGGCCGCAAGGUUAAAACUCAAAUGAAUUGACGGGGGCCCGCACAAGCGGUGGAGCAUGUGGUUUAAUUCGAUGCAACGCGAAGAACCUUACCUACUCUUGACAUCCAGAGAACUUAGCAGAGAUGCUUCGGUGCCUUCGGGAACUCUGAGACAGGUGCUGCAUGGCUGUCGUCAGCUCGUGUUGUGAAACGUUGGGUUAAGUCCCGCAACGAGCGCAACCCUUAUCCUUUGUUGCCAGCGGUUAGGCCGGGAACUCAAAGGAGACUGCCAGUGAUAAACUGGAGGAAGGUGGGGAUGACGUCAAGUCAUCAUGGCCCUUACGAGUAGGGCUACACACGUGCUACAAUGGCAUAUACAAAGAGAAGCGACCUCGCGAGAGCAAGCGGACCUCAUAAAGUAUGUCGUAGUCCGGAUUGGAGUCUGCAACUCGACUCCAUGAAGUCGGAAUCGCUAGUAAUCGUGGAUCGGAAUGCCACGGUGAAUACGUUCCCGGGCCUUGUACACACCGCCCGUCACACCAUGGGAGUGGGUUGCAAAAGAAGUAGGUAGCUUAACCUUCGGGAGGGCGCUUACCACUUUGUGAUUCAUGACUGGGGUGAAGUCGUAACAAGGUAACC